rfam:Schistosoma rodhaini strain Burundi genome assembly, scaffold: SROB_scaffold0008138
AGCCACUGACGAGUCUCAAAUAAGACGAAAUGUGCGUCCUGGAU